GUGGGGACUGGGGGCUCAAACCUGGAUCCUUGUGCACUGUGACAUGUACGCUUAACCAGCCAGACCACAGCUUAGCUGAUAGAGCACGCAGUUUACCCUGCGUAAGAAGCUGGGUUUGAACUCCUAGCACCACAUGGGAACACCAUGCAUGGCACCAGGGAGCUCCAAAUCCAGUGGACAGAGAAAUCUCAAGAGGGGAGGGGAAGACAGGGAGAGAAAGACACCUGCAGACCUGCUUCACCGCUUGUGAAACGGCUCCUCUGGAGGUGGGACGCCUGGGGCUCCAACCGGGAUCCUUCCGCCAGUCUUUGCGCU